AGAUAGUGUAAGUAGAGUCUUUAAUUUGAAGUUGAAGGAGCUGAUGAAAUCUCUACGUGAGAAGAAACAUUUCAGGACCGUAACUGCGGUGAUAUAUACAACCGAGUUUCAAAAGAAUUUCAAAAAAUAGGUUGCCACAUGCACAUAUCCUCUUGUGGUUGGAUAAAAAGGACAAACCACAAACUCCAUCCGAGAUAGAUAGGAUUAUUUCG